rnacentral:rRNA from 1 species
CCUACGGGUGGCAGCAGUGAGGAAUAUUGGUCAAUGGUCGUAAGACUGAACCAGCCAAGUAGCGUGCAGGAUGACGGCCCUACGGGUUGUAAACUGCUUUUAUGCGGGGAUAAAAUGCGUCACGUGUGCCGUUUUGUAGGUACUGUAUGAAUAAGGAUCGGCUAAUUCCGUGCCAGCAGCCGCGGUAAUACGGAGGGUCCGAGCGUUAUCCGGAUUUAUUGGGUUUAAAGGGAGCGUAGGUGGCGUGUUAAGCCAGCCGUGAAAUGGCGGGGCUCAACCAUGGCACUGCAACGGGUACUGGCAGGCUUGAGUACAGGGGAGGUAGGCGGAAUUCGUGGUGUAGCGGUGAAAUGCUUAGAUAUCACGAAGAACUCCGAUUGCGAAGGCAGCAUACGGAACCGCUACUGACGCUGAGGCUCGAAGGCGUGGGUAUCGAACAGGAUUAGAUACCCCUGUAGUC